rnacentral:rRNA from 1 species
UACGGAGGGUGCGAGCGUUAAUCGGAAUCACUGGGCGUAAAGCGCGCGUAGGCGGCUUUUCAAGCCAGGGGUGAAAUCCCACGGCCCAACCGUGGAACUGCCUUUGAAACUGUAGAGCUUGAGUGUCGGAGAGGGAGGCGGAAUUCCAGGUGUAGGAGUGAAAUCCGUAGAUAUCUGGAGGAACACCGGUGGCGAAGGCGGCCACCUGGACGACAACUGACGCUGAGGUGCGAAAGCGUGGGCAGCAAACAGG